GCCGCGGCGACCGCGGCGGCACGGGGUGAAAUUUCUGGAAGGUGCGGCCGGAGCGGGGCCGGGAUCUGGGUCGGGCCGAGGGCGGCGGGCGGUGACGGCCCCCAGCGCCGCUGCCAUGAAUCACAAGAGUAAGAAGAGGAUCCGUGAGGCGAAGCGCAGCGCCCGGCCCGAGCUGAAGGACUCGCUGGACUGGACCCGUCACAAUUACUGCGAGACCUUCCCCCUCAGCCCCACCGCCUGCAAGGAUAACGUGGAGAGGGCAGAUGCACUCCAUUUAACAGUGGAGGAGUUUGUUGAGCGUUAUGAAAAGCCUUACAAGCCUGUGGUGUUGCUGAACGCUCAGGUGGGCUGGUCUGCCCAGGAGAAGUGGACGCUGGAGCGGCUGAAACGCAAGUACAGGAACCAGAAGUUCAAAUGUGGGGAGGACAAUGACGGUUACUCCGUGAAGAUGAAGAUGAAAUAUUACAUAGAGUACAUGGAAACCACGCGUGAUGACAGCCCCCUCUACAUCUUUGACAGCAGCUAUGGAGAGCAUCCCAAGCGAAGGAAACUCCUGGAGGACUACAAGGUCCCCAAAUUCUUCACUGAUGAUCUCUUUCAGUAUGCAGGGGAGAAACGAAGGCCACCCUACAGAUGGUUUGUGAUGGGCCCACCUCGUUCUGGAACAGGAAUUCACAUUGAUCCCUUGGGAACUAGUGCGUGGAAUGCCUUAGUCCAGGGACAUAAGCGUUGGUGCCUGUUCCCAACCAGCACUCCCAGAGAGCUGAUCAAAGUGACACGGGAAGAGGGAGGGAACCAGCAGGAUGAGGCCAUCACCUGGUUCAAUGUCAUCUAUCCUCGGACACAGCUUCCCACCUGGCCCCCUGAGUUCAAACCCCUGGAAGUCUUACAGAAACCAGGAGAGACAGUCUUUGUGCCAGGUGGCUGGUGGCACGUAGUCCUCAACCUUGACACAACUAUUGCCAUCACUCAAAACUUUGCCAGCUGUACCAACUUCCCAGUAGUGUGGCACAAGACAGUAAGAGGGAGACCUAAACUGUCACGGAAAUGGUACAGGAUCCUAAAGCAGGAACAUCCUGAACUGGCAGCCUUGGCUGAUUCAGUUGACCUGCAGGAAUCUACUGGUAUUGCUUCUGACAGUUCUAGUGAUUCUUCCAGUUCAUCAAGUUCCAGCUCCUCAGACUCUGAUUCAGAGUGUGACUCUGGCUCCGAGACAGAGGGGAUGAUGCACCGCAGGAAAAAGCGGAGGACGUGUGGAAUGAUGGGAAACGGGGACACAACUUCCCAGGACGACUGCGUGAGCAAAGAGCGCAGCUCCUCCAGCAGAGGCUUGCCAAAAUUCUUCAGCAAAUUCCUUGCAGCUUGGUUAACCAGUGCUGCUGGGUUGGCUGCCUGCCUGCAUUAGAGUACUGGCCAGCUCCUGAGCUCUUAGAUGCUCCAGGUUUGGCAUGGAUGCAAGUGCUGUGGUGGCUUAGUGUGUGGCUUGCUGAAGAAGGUGUGCAGCAGUAAUUUAACUGUGGAAGUCCACAUUCCAGCAUGAUUCCAGCCUGACUUCCCAGUGUGGGGACUGCCUGAAGACCUGUGUGCUCCUGAUUAGGGAAUCUUGUGGAGGCCGCAGCUACCCCUGAGGGAUGACACCACCUGCCCAGAGGCAGCUGCCGAUCGAAGCUCUGUUAGCAGCCAGCCAGCUCUGUUCUACCCCCUCCUGCUUCUAUUUCUCACACUCCUUAAGUUUUUGUCACCCUUCCUCGAUCCAGACAUCUUCGUUACGUGCUGUCCAAGGUUGGCUCCUGAAUAACCUGUGGGGCAAUGCCCCGACUGCGUCCUUUGUGCAAUGCUUUGUCCCCUCUGCGCCCCUGGUGAGUGCACUACAACCCAGCUGUGGGUAAGGACAUGCUGAGUAUUUAAUGGGUCAUGGAACUGGCAAGGAAGAGAAUGGUCAGUUUUUAAAGAACUCCUUUUAAAACCAGCAGGUAAAUGUAAAAACCUGCCUUGCUUUGACACUGUCAUAUGUUUACAUGUUGUCCUGUACACUUGAGGAAAGGAACACCAGCCCUUUUGGCCUAUUGGAACGUCGGGUGGAUCUCACACCAGAAUUUCAGGAAGAACAAGGAAGAAAUGAACUUCUGCAAGAACUGAGCUGUGUAAAAUGAGUCCUUGGAUCUUACCCUGCUGCAGGAGAACAUUGCUGUCAGGGCUGGCGCUUCCAAGUGUGUGUCUCAUAAAAUCCUGGAAAUACGGGCGCUUGGAAAGAGCCCGUCAGGAUCAUUGAGUUCAACUCCUGCCCUGCACAGAAACCAAGAGCCCCACCUUGUGCCCAAGAGCAUUGUCCAAACACUUCAUGAACUCAGGCACAGUGCUGGGACCAUUGCCCUGGGAAGCCUGUUCCAGUGCCCAACCACCUUCAGGGUGAAAAACGUUUCCAUGGUGUCUAAACCUGCCCUCACUCAGCUCCAGCCACUUCCUUGAGCCCUGUCACUGGUCACAAGAGUGAAGAGAUUGGUACCUGUCCCUCUGCUGUCCCUCAUGAGGAUGCUGAAGAGCCAAAUGGGGUCUGACCUCAGUCUCCUCCAGGCUGAACAGACCAAGUGACCUCAGGCACUCCUCAUAUAGCUUCCCCUCCAGAGCCUUCACCAUCCUCAUGGCCUCCUUUGGACUCUCUCCAAUGGCUUAAUGUCUGUUAGAUGUUUUGGUUCCCAAAACUGCCCCCAGCACUGAAGGUGAAACUGCCCCAGAGCAGAGCAGAGCAGGACAGAUGCUGGGCCUGAUGCCCCAGGACACUGUUUGCCCUCUGGGCUCCAGGGCACAGCUGAGAUCCAGCUUGCCACCCACCAGGACUCCCAGGUCCCUUUCCACAACUCUGCUCUCCAGCCUCUCGUUCCCUAGUCUGUCCACACAACCAGGAGUGCCUGGACCCCAGUGCAGAAUCCAGCCCUUGUUAAACUCCACACGGUUGGUGAUUGCCCGUCUCUCUCAUUUGUUGGAGCCUCUCUACCCUCAAGGGAGUUGACAGCUCCUUCCAAUUUAGUGUUGUUGGCAAACUUAAUAUUCCUUCCAGUCCUGCGUCCGAGUCAUUAAUGGGGAUGUUGAAGAGCACAGGGAUGAGGAUGGAGCCCUGCAGAACCCUGCUAGUGGCCAGUGCCAGCCUGGUGUCACCCCAGUCACUGUCACCCUUUGUGUCCAACCGGUUGUUGCUCACCCAUCAUGUAACAUGGUUAGCCAGCUGUGGGCUCUCCCAGUUUGUCCAGAAGGUCACUGGGAGAGACAAUACCCAAAGCUUUGCUCAAGUCCAAAAGGUGACAUCUGCUGGCUUUCCUAGAUCAACCAGGUGGGUCACCCUGUCACAGAAGGAGAUCAGAUUCAACAAGCAGGACUUUCCCUUCAUGAAGCUGUGCUGGCUGUGACUGAUGCCUGCAUUGUCCUCCACAUGUUUUUCAGUAUUUCCCAGAAUCAUCUCCUCCAUGAUUUGGCCAGGCACUGAAGUGAGACUGACAGGCCUGUGGUUUCCAGGGUCCUCCUUGUUCUUGAAAAUUGGAAUAUUUGUCAGCUUCCAGUCAGCUGGAACCCCUACGGUUUCCCAAGACUGCUCAAAAAUCAUUAAGAGGUGUUGCAAUGACAUCAGCAGCGUCUUGAGGAUUCUCAGAUUAAUCCCAUGAGGUCCCAUGGAUUUGCAGGCAUCCAUCUGGAGCAACAGAUCCUGCUGCUUUGGGGUCAACUGGGAGUUGAACAUUCUCAUAGUCACAGUCCUCCAGCUCAGGGCACUGAGACCCCUUGGUCCAUCAUCUGUGCUGAAGACAGAGGCAAAGAAACAUUAAACACCUCUGCCAGGUCCCUGUUUGUGAGGUGACCAUCCUCAUCCUGGAAUGGGCCAGUGUUAUUUCUAAUUUGCCUUUUGCCAUUAAUAUAUUUGAAAAAACUUUUUUAUUUCCCCCAUGGUUCUGGUCAGUCUUGUCUCAAGUUGAGCUUUGGCCAUGUGAAUUUUCUCCCUACAGUGGCAGCAGCAUUUCUGUAUUCUUCCCAUGUCACCUGACCUUGCUUCCACUGGGCAAACACCUUCCUUUUUUGUCUUGUUUCCAAGAUCCCUGUUCAUCCAGGGAAGGGAAGGUGGUGUGAAUGCCCCAAGCACUGAAACAACUUCAGCAGAGGUGACCACCAACAUGAAGCACCUUUUGUGGUCUGAAUCUGCGUGCUCCAUGCACACACCUGAGGUGCAACACCUGAAGCAGCAACAGUCCAUCUACUGCCACUCUGUCAUGGUGACAGGCAGCAAAGCUGUACUAGCACCCUGUGAUGGGAAGCUUGAUGGAGCAGGAGAAUCCUGGAGUUUCUUGCACAGCAAAAACUGUGACAGGAAAAAGGCAGCAUUUGCCAGUAAUUCCAGCCUUUCCAGUGCAGGUGUGAUGUUUAGCACAAGGCAACUGCUGACAAAGUCUGACUGGCAGAAUCACAUUUGCUGGGCUUGAAACACCAAACAGUUCUGGGGCUGUGGGCUCACUCAGUGCAGUUCACAUCCCUAAUGGCUUUUCUUUGAGGUUAUGCAUUCAGACCUUUCUGAAAGUUGCAGUGCCAAUUUUAAAGGACUGAGGAGGGGACACGUUGUUGUUUUAUGCUUUUUAAAUAUGCAGUGUGUUGCUUAAGUCUGUGUAGAUGCAUUUGUAUUAUGCCACGUAAAGCUCUCGUCCCCAAGGGACCUUUUGGAGCUGCUGGUUUGUCACAUUAGCUGGGGCUUGUGCUGGUGGUGUCUCUGUGUGCCUGAAGGUGCUGCCAGGAAAUCCGAACUUCCCAUGGGCUGCUUCAGUGGGUGCUCUUCUGAGCCUAGGAAUGGGGUACAGAACUCACCUCUGCCCUUCUCUGGGAGAGGAAACUUGACAGCAGAAGUGCUGUGCAUGUAGUAAACACACAGCAAUGCCCAGGCACUGAUGAAAGAGCAAAUUGAAGAGAGAUUAAAGCCUCAACUGUGACUUUCUUAAGGGUGUUUGGUUUGGUGGAACCUGGAGUGUUGCUUUUCUGGAUUCUCUGAUCCAUUUUUACCCUUUUCCUUAUUUAAACACUCCUGGGCCAUAUCCUUUUGUACAAAGGAAUCCUAAAUAUGUUUGUCAGGGUCUCUGUUUUUAACUCUUUUGUGCCAGUUUGUGUAAGAGCAGUGUGGUGGUGGGGAAAUGGAGAGGGAAGGCUUAUUGAUACAUUUUUUAGCUGUCUAGACUCUCAGAUUUCCUGUGAUAGAUAAACAAUAAACAAGCACAUUUGCUCUGUAGCCACUGCAGAUUCUUCCACAAGAUUAUUUAAAAAAAAACCUCCAACUUCUCCAACUCCUGUCACUUCUUGCCAAGGCUGAACAGCCUGGAAGCCUGCACAGUCUAUGUGUGUGCUCUCAGAGCAGGCUGCAGCUGCUGCCUUUUGGAAGAAUGUGAGGCUUGUGGAGGCAAAGGCUCCCAAGACAGCUCUGUCACGGUGAGGGGAGUCCUUGGAGAGCUGUCCUUACCCUCUCUGGUGGCUGGGCAGCACCUCAGUGAGAUGCAGCUGCAUUUGGCACAUGUGCCUCAGUUUGAACAGUCUUAAAAUCUAAUGUGAAAGCCUGAUUGCUGUGCUGGGAAAGCCACACCUCUGCCUCUAGAAGCACAGGGGGAAGAUCCAGUGUGCAGAACGUUGUUCCACGCCUGUGAACUCUUCCAUGGUGUGAAAUAAAGCGAUUCCAGGUGAAGCCUGUGUUGGUGUGACACCCCUCACAGAAAAGCAGCGUGUUUACAAUAGACUGCAGACAUCAUGAUACCAGCAACCCUCUCCUGACUGCUCCACAGGGCACUUCCUGCUGUGAAACUGUGUCUGUGCAGGCUACCUGGGAAUCAGGACUCUGGGAUCUCCAGUUCUUCCACUUCUGCCUUUUGCCUCAGCCACUUUGAGCAGUAGGGAAAUCUCUACCUCACAGGGCUGUUGUGAGGCUGAACUGUAAUUGCUGUGUGGGAUGCUUUCAAUCCAUCCAUCCACAGAAAGUGUUCCAUUCAUCCUGAGCAACCUGAGACUUCUGAGCCUGGUGGGAGCUUUUUGUAGCAGAAAACAUGGGGGAUGUUACUCAACACUUUUGGCCAGCUGGUGUUCUGUGGUGGCCCUUCCAGAAUUGCUGUGUGGUACAAAAACUGUAGCAGAACAAGACUUCCUGUUUUCACCAGGGUUGAACUGUUGCUGUUCCACAGCCUGCUCUAUACAGGGGGUCCUGCUAGAGCAGGAUCUGUUUUUAAAUAGGACUGGAUACAAUUCUCUCAUCAGGGAGUCAGCUUCACUGGCCUUGCAGCAAUGGGGGGAGCUGGUUCUUCCCAGGGCCUCAUUUCAGGCUGGGUGAGGAACAGUUAAAAACUCUGCUUCCUUUGUGCCUCACUCCAUGCUUGUGGGAAGCUGCCUGGGGAGAGUGGGCUCUGUGCUCUCAUUUCUCCAGGCUUAUGCUUCUUGGAACAUCCUUGUCUCCUGUUCCAACCCUGCAGCUUUUGUACUCUGGAGGCCCUGGAUGCAGCUGCUCCAGCACCCUGUGGGCCCCUCAGUUCCUGGAGCCCCAGAGCAGCAGCACAGCUUUGCCUCACCUCUCUGGGCUUUGGGGGCUGCUCUGUUCCCCAGGGAUGGGCAGAGAGGCUCAGGCUGGGUGUCAUUGUCACAGUCCUGCCUGCUCCAGAGAGAUGAUGGGAUUUGGGAGCUCUGGCUGUGCUUUAGAGCCUGGUAGCAGGCACAGGCUGUGAGAGUUCAGGAGGAAACAACUCCAUCAGAACCACAAAUGUGAACAAGAGGCACCAGUCCCAGCACCUGUUCCCUGCACAAGUGCUGUGGGAGCAGAUGACACCGAGGAGCCUCUGGCAGACCUUCCUCCCCUUUCCAGCUCGUGUGUGCUGGCUCCAGUUUGUCUUCUCAGUUACAUCAAACCUCUCCAAAUGCUCCAAGGAAAGACAGCAACCUCUUUCAUAGUUAACCUCUACUCCUCCCCGAGUCCCCAGCCAUUGUGGGUUGGGAAAUGAGACUGUUGGCUGAAUCCAGUCUGAAAUGCCUGUGUGGGCACAUUGUAACAGGAGGUUUUUGUCAUUCCCCCUCACAAAGAGGGGAAGGAAAGUGUCACCCAUUCAUGUGGCAGUCCCACUGUCAGCUCCAAGCCCUUAGCUGCUUUUAUCACCCAUCCAGCAGAGCUGGGAUACUUGUCUUGUUCGGAUGAUUGUGGUUUUGCUUUUUAUUUUAAAUAAAAUCAAUUAUUUUGCAA